GCUGCUUUGAAUAGAUUAUGAACAUAACUUGACCCUCUCCAUUGAUACUUGAAGCUGCGAAACCCCACUAAAUAAAUAUGACCUUUUCCUCAGCCAACCAGACAAUAUUUUAAAGGCCCGGCAUGGUGAUGUUUCAAGUCUCAGCUCUGGAGAGGCUGAUGCAGAGAGAUCCUGGCUAGUCUGAACUGCAUGGUGAGCCCUGGUCGGUCUCAGAACAAACCAAACCAAAGCACCACCAGGAAGCUCAUGGAGCUUACCGCCUCAGGAUCAGGAAGUAUGAGUGAAAGUACGAAAUGACAGAGUUUCAGAGGACAUGGAAUGCUGAUGGCUGAUCUUUAACUAGUGUUGGAGAGUAGAGAAGAAACUGUGUGCAUUGGAGAAAUUGGUGAAGAGAUAUGUAAAUAAACUAAAUGGAAUAUUCCAAUGCUCUUUGUCUGGCAAAUUGAAGGCUUUAGAGUUCUCAGAAAUAAAUAAUUGAUCUUAUCAAAAAAAGAAGGAAGAAAAGAAAAAGAAAGAAAUUCUGUAUAACUUUCCCUUUAAAUGUAUAUGAUAUUCAAUGAAAGAAGCCUACAUGUAUUAUGAUAUUUAAAAUGACUUAGCUUUCUUCCGCUUUGAAGUAAGUUGAUUUGCAAGAAACUUAGGAUUUUUAAAGCUAAAUGUCAUUAUUAUUUUUCUCCAGUCUUCUAAUAAACAUGAUUUUCAGGUUGCUUUUAUUUCUCCUCCUCCUCCUCCUCCUCCUCCUCCUCCUCCUCCUCCUCCUCCUCCUCUUCUCCUUCUUCUCCUUCUUCUUCGGAUGCCAAUGCAGUCUUUCAGAUACAUUCUGAUAGUGUUCUCUAAAUUAAACUUGAUUAUUUUUUUCAUAAAAAAGCACGAACAUAUAAUAGUGCUAUCUAGAAUAUUAAUCACAUGUUCAAAAGUACUUCUAAGUCAGCACAUUGCAUGAAGUCUCCAAUUAAGGAGCAAAGCUCUAAUUAAUGUUUCUCUUACCGUGCGAGACUUUUAAACAGGAAAGAAUACUCAAUACACACCCAAGGAAGGUAGCAUGCACAACUCCGUCCACACAAUUGAGGAAGGCAGGAAGCAGACGACAUGGCUAGAGAAGACUAUACAAAUGCCCUAGGGAAAUAUAACUUGAUGCAUGCAGUUUUCAGUUCUUUCUACAUUUGAUUCUUAAGCUUGUCAUUGUGCCCCCUUUCAUUAUGCACAAAUAAAAGUAUAGAUGGAUCCCCAAA
rnacentral:lncRNA from 1 species